rnacentral:ncRNA from 2 species
GUUUAUUAUUAAGCGCCAGAACACUAUUGUGUUGACGAGGUCUAGAGCUAAUCGAAUUUUCGGCGGAUACUCUAGUGGCUUAACUUAAGUCAAAGCAUUAUAACAAAAAACAAUAUAAUAUUGUAACAGAAAUUAAUGCAUAAGUAUAU